rnacentral:rRNA from 1 species
CAAUAGCGUAUAUUAAAGUUGUUGCGGUUAAAAAGCUCGUAGUUGGAUUUUGGGACUCGUACAACCGGUCGCCCGAAAGGGUCGCACUGGGUGUCGGGACCUUCUGUCUGGAGCGGCCCGGGCGUCUCUUCACUGAGGCCCCGUGCCGGUCUAGGACUUUUACUUUGAACAAAUUAGAGUGUCCAAAGCAGGCUCACGCCUUGAAUACAUUAGCAUGGAAUAACCGAAUAGGACUUUGGUUCUAUUUCGUUGGUUGAAGGACCAAGGUAAUGAUUAAUAGGGAUAGUUGGGGGCAUUGAUAUUUAAUUGUCAGAGGUGAAAUUCUUAGAUUUAUGAAAGAUCAACUUCUGCGAAAGCAUUUGCCAAGGAUGUUUUCAUUGA